rnacentral:tRNA from 1 species
GGGCUUGUAGCUCAGCUGGUUAGAGCGUUCGGUUUACAUCCGAAAGGUCCUUGGUUCGAGUCCAUGCAAGCCCA